UUACUGUGGUUAAAAUAAAGUUACCACAGUAAAACUCUAAAGUUAACACUUCCUGAUCACCAACUUAACAAUAAUCUCAUUUCAUACUCUAAUCUUCUCUAAAUCGAUUCUAGUCUUUCCUAAACACUCAGAUUACUCUAAACAUUACUAAAACUAAUAUGGUAUCAGAGCCAGGUUAGUGAGAACCUGAGUUCGUGUUAGGCUCUUUGGAGAUUCAAGAUUGAAGCUUUAAAGAGUUUGGUUGGUGUUCUUGUGUUCUUGGGAAGUUCCGGGUAUUGUCCGAGUUCAAAGACUAGUUUUUAGUGUGUUGCU
rnacentral:lncRNA from 1 species